UUAUGAGAGUUUGAUCCUGGCUCAGGACGAACGCUGGCGGCGUGCCUAAUACAUGCAAGUCGAACGCUUCUUUUUCCACCGGAGCUUGCUCCACCGGAAAAAGAGGAGUGGCGAACGGGUGAGUAACACGUGGGUAACCUGCCCAUCAGAAGGGGAUAACACUUGGAAACAGGUGCUAAUACCGUAUAACAAUCAAAACCGCAUGGUUUUGAUUUGAAAGGCGCUUUCGGGUGUCGCUGAUGGAUGGACCCGCGGUGCAUUAGCUAGUUGGUGAGGUAACGGCUCACCAAGGCCACGAUGCAUAGCCGACCUGAGAGGGUGAUCGGCCACAUUGGGACUGAGACACGGCCCAAACUCCUACGGGAGGCAGCAGUAGGGAAUCUUCGGCAAUGGACGAAAGUCUGACCGAGCAACGCCGCGUGAGUGAAGAAGGUUUUCGGAUCGUAAAACUCUGUUGUUAGAGAAGAACAAGGAUGAGAGUAACUGUUCAUCCCUUGACGGUAUCUAACCAGAAAGCCACGGCUAACUACGUGCCAGCAGCCGCGGUAAUACGUAGGUGGCAAGCGUUGUCCGGAUUUAUUGGGCGUAAAGCGAGCGCAGGCGGUCAUCAGAAGGGGAUAACACUUGGAAACAGGUGCUAAUACCGUAUAACAAUAACUGGGAGACUUGAGUGCAGAAGAGGAGAGUGGAAUUCCAUGUGUAGCGGUGAAAUGCGUAGAUAUAUGGAGGAACACCAGUGGCGAAGGCGGCUCUCUGGUCUGUAACUGACGCUGAGGCUCGAAAGCGUGGGGAGCAAACAGGAUUAGAUACCCUGGUAGUCCACGCCGUAAACGAUGAGUGCUAAGUGUUGGAGGGUUUCCGCCCUUCAGUGCUGCAGCUAACGCAUUAAGCACUCCGCCUGGGGAGUACGACCGCAAGGUUGAAACUCAAAGGAAUUGACGGGGGCCCGCACAAGCGGUGGAGCAUGUGGUUUAAUUCGAAGCAACGCGAAGAACCUUACCAGGUCUUGACAUCCUUUGACCACUCUAGAGAUAGAGCUUCCCCUUCGGGGGCAAAGUGACAGGUGGUGCAUGGUUGUCGUCAGCUCGUGUCGUGAGAUGUUGGGUUAAGUCCCGCAACGAGCGCAACCCUUAUUGUUAGUUGCCAUCAUUCAGUUGGGCACUCUAGCAAGACUGCCGGUGACAAACCGGAGGAAGGUGGGGAUGACGUCAAAUCAUCAUGCCCCUUAUGACCUGGGCUACACACGUGCUACAAUGGGAAGUACAACGAGUUGCGAAGUCGCGAGGCUAAGCUAAUCUCUUAAAGCUUCUCUCAGUUCGGAUUGCAGGCUGCAACUCGCCUGCAUGAAGCCGGAAUCGCUAGUAAUCGCGGAUCAGCACGCCGCGGUGAAUACGUUCCCGGGCCUUGUACACACCGCCCGUCACACCACGAGAGUUUGUAACACCCGAAGUCGGUGAGGUAACCUUUUGGAGCCAGCCGCCUAAGGUGGGAUAGAUGAUUGGGGUGAAGUCGUAACAAGGUAGCCGUAUCGGAAGGUGCGGCUGGAUCACCUCCUUU
rnacentral:rRNA from 1 species